rnacentral:rRNA from 1 species
UUUAUUGGAGAGUUUGAUCCUGGCUCAGGAUGAACGCUGGCGGCGUGCCUAAUACAUGCAAGUCGAGCGAAUGAAUUAAGAGCUUGCUCUUAUGAAGUUAGCGGCGGACGGGUGAGUAACACGUGGGUAACCUGCCCAUAAGACUGGGAUAACUCCGGGAAACCGGGGCUAAUACCGGAUAACAUUUUGAACUGCAUGGUUCGAAAUUGAAAGGCGGCUUCGGCUGUCACUUAUGGAUGGACCCGCGUCGCAUUAGCUAGUUGGUGAGGUAACGGCUCACCAAGGCAACGAUGCGUAGCCGACCUGAGAGGGUGAUCGGCCACACUGGGACUGAGACACGGCCCAGAC